rnacentral:rRNA from 1 species
CGAUUAGAGUUUGAUCCUGGCUCAGAGCGAACGCUGGCGGCAGGCUUAACACAUGCAAGUCGAGCGCCCCGCAAGGGGAGCGGCAGACGGGUGAGUAACGCGUGGGAACGUACCUUUUGGUUCGGAACAACACAGGGAAACUUGUGCUAAUACCGGAUAAGCCCUUACGGGGAAAGAUUUAUCGCCGAAAGAUCGGCCCGCGUCUGAUUAGCUUGUUGGUGAGGUAACGGCUCACCAAGGCGACGAUCAGUAGCUGGUCUGAGAGGAUGAUCAGCCACAUUGGGACUGAGACACGGCCCAAACUCCUACGGGAGGCAGCAGUGGGGAAUAUUGGACAAUGGGCGCAAGCCUGAUCCAGCCAUGCCGCGUGAGUGAUGAAGGCCCUAGGGUUGUAAAGCUCUUUUAACGGGGAAGAUAAUGACGGUACCCGUAGAAUAAGCCCCGGCUAACUUCGUGCCAGCAGCCGCGGUAAUACGAAAGGGGCUAGCGUUGCUCGGAAUCACUGGGCGUAAAGGGUGCGUAGUGGAUCUUUAAGUCGGGGUGAAAUCCUGGAGCUCACUCCCAAACUGCCUUUGAUACUGAGGAUUUUGAGUUCGGGAAAGGUAAAUGGAACUGCAGGGGAAAGGUGAAAUUC